AUGCAGGUGAGUGAUACCAAGAAGCUAUUUACAAGGAAGGGGCAAGAAGUGUAUCGUGCAUGCAGUGGGGUGGCAUUUGUCAGGCUCAGUGUAGCCAGCUGUAGUGUGAAGGAUUGCAGCAGAGAGUCUCCCUAUGCUCCCUCCCUUUGUGCUCAGCAGCUGGAGCUUGUAGCCAGCUCCCUCUGUCUUGCUGGAGGCACAGAUCAGCAAGAUUGGAGGGGAAGGAGGAUGAAGGAUUACUGGCCCACCUCGCCUGGGAUGGGAUGGUGGCCACAGGCUCUGGUGUCCACAGAGCUCCCUGUGCUAUGCCCUGCUUGUCAAGCCUCCCUCAGCAUCUGUAACGGCUCCCAUCAAAAUUUUGAAACUACGCAAGUCCACUUGUGUUCAAGAGCUGCUGUACUGCUGGAAAUUAAAAUAGGUCAGGGUCAAAUGUUUGUACAGAUAUUACAAAUAUUUAAUUGA
rnacentral:lncRNA from 1 species